GGCGACCGGCAAACGGGUGCGGAACACGUACACAACCUUCCUUUUAGUGGGGGAUAGCCCAGAGAAAUUUGGAUUAAUACCCCGUAACAUGUUGGUGAGGCAUCUCACUGAUAUUAUAGUGGCAACACGCUAGAAGACGGGUGUGCGUAUGAUUAGGUAGUUGGCGGGGUAACGGCCCACCAAGCCUUCGAUCAUUAACUGGUGUGAGAGCACGACCAGUCACACGGGCACUGAGACACGGGCCCGACUCCUACGGGAGGCAGCAGUAAGGAAUAUUGGUCAAUGGAGGAAACUCUGAACCAGCCAUGCCGCGUGGAGGAUGAAGGUCCUCUGGAUUGUAAACUUCUUUUAUAUGGGACGAAAAAGGGACUUUCUAGUUCAACUGACGGUACCAUAUGAAUAAGCACCGGCUAACUCCGUGCCAGCAGCCGCGGUAAUACGGAGGGUGCAAGCGUUAUCCGGAUUCACUGGGUUUAAAGGGAGCGUAGGUGGGUUGGUAAGUCAGAGGUGAAAUCUCCGAGCUUAACUCGGAAACUGCCUUUGAUACUAUCAGUCUUGAAUAUUGUGGAGGUUAGCGGAAUAUGUCAUGUAGCGGUGA
rnacentral:rRNA from 1 species